AUACAUGCAGUCGAGCGGAUCUUCAUUAGCUUGCUUUUGAAGAUCAGCGGCGGACGGGUGAGUAACACGUGGGCAACCUGCCUGUAAGACUGGGAUAACUUCGGGAAACCGGAGCUAAUACCGGAUAAUCCUUUCCCUCACAUGAGGGAAAGCUGAAAGACGGCUUCUCGCUGUCACUUACAGAUGGGCCCGCGGCGCAUUAGCUAGUUGGUGAGGUAACGGCUCACCAAGGCAACGAUGCGUAGCCGACCUGAGAGGGUGAUCGGCCACACUGGGACUGAGACACGGCCCAGACUCCUACGGGAGGCAGCAGUAGGGAAUCUUCCGCAAUGGACGAAAGUCUGACGGAGCAACGCCGCGUGAACGAUGAAGGCUUUCGGGUCGUAAAGUUCUGUUGUCAGGGAAGAACAAGUACCGGAGUAACUGCCGGUACCUUGACGGUACCUGACCAGAAAGCCACGGCUAACUACGUGCCAGCAGCCGCGGUAAUACGUAGGUGGCAAGCGUUGUCCGGAAUUAUUGGGCGUAAAGCGCGCGCAGGCGGUUCCUUAAGUCUGAUGUGAAAGCCCCCGGCUCAACCGGGGAGGGUCAUUGGAAACUGGGGAACUUGAGUGCAGAAGAGGAGAGC
rnacentral:rRNA from 1 species